rnacentral:pre_miRNA from 1 species
UAGGGGUGUUGUUGCUCUGCCACCGGUCCAUGACGACACCUGAGCGACUCCCACUGCAUCAGAGCUUCGGAAGCAGAGUUUUCUGCCAUCCCUCCAAUACAUCUCUGCGGUGUCUUUUGUGAUGCAGCAGAACUUGUGCGCCGAGAGCUUUCCGUUGUCGAAGGCAAUGGAUUGAGGUCAGGUAGCUUUCCCUC